AUGGGGGGACCAUCCUCCAAGGCUAAAUACUCCUGACUGACCGAUAGUGAACCAGUACCGUGAGGGAAAGGCGAAAAGAACCCCGGCGAGGGGAGUGAAAAAGAACCUGAAACCGUGUACGUACAAGCAGUGGGAGCACAGGUUUACCUGUGUGACUGCGUACCUUUUGUAUAAUGGGUCAGCGACUUAUAUUCUGUAGCAAGGUUAACCGAAUAGGGGAGCCGGAGGGAAACCGAGUCUUAAUUGGGCGUUAAGUUGCAGGGUAUAGACCCGAAACCCGGUGAUCUAGCCAUGGGCAGGUUGAAGGUUGGGUAACACUAACUGGAGGACCGAACCGACUAAUGUUGAAAAAUUAGCGGAUGACCUGUGGCUGGGGGUGAAAGGCCAAUCAAACCGGGAGAUAGCUGGUUC
rnacentral:rRNA from 1 species